rnacentral:rRNA from 1 species
GAUGAACGCUGGCGGCGUGCCUAAUACAUGCAAGUCGAGCGAACAGACGAGGAGCUUGCUCCUCUGACGUUAGCGGCGGACGGGUGAGUAACACGUGGAUAACCUACCUAUAAGACUGGGAUAACUUCGGGAAACCGGAGCUAAUACCGGAUAAUAUAUUGAACCGCAUGGUUCAAUAGUGAAAGACGGUUUUGCUGUCCCUUAUAGAUGGAUCCGCGCCGCAUUAGCUAGUUGGUAAGGUAACGGCUUACCAAGGCAACGAUGCGUAGCCGACCUGAGAGGGUGAUCGGCCACACUGGAACUGAGACACGGUCCAGACUACUACGGGAGGCAGCAGUAGGGAAUCUUCCGCAAUGGGCGAAAGCCUGACGGAGCAACGCCGCGUGAGUGAUGAAGGUCUUCGGAUCGUAAAACUCUGUUAUUAGGGAAGAACAAAUGUGUAAGUAACUAUGCACGUCUUGACGGUACCUAAUCAGAAAGCCACGGCUAACUACGUG